UUAUACGACCGUACCGCAAACCGACACUGGUGCGCGAGAUGAGUAUUCUGAGGCGCUUGAGAGAACUCAGGAGAAGGAACUCGGCAAAUUGACACCGUAACUUCGGAAGAAGGUGUGCCCUAUUAGUGUGUAGUGAACAACGAAGCAUGAAUGGGUUGCAAAAAAUCGGUGGCUGCGACUGUUUAUUAAAAACACAGCACUCUGCAAACACGAAAGUGGACGUAUAGGGUGUGACGCCUGCCCGGUGCUGGAAGAUUAAAUGAUGGGGUGCAAGCUCUUGAUUGAAGUCCCAGUAAACGGCGGCCGUAACUAUAACGGUCCUAAGGUAGCGGAAUUCCUCGUCGGGUAAGUUCCGACCUGCACGAAUGGCGUAACGAUGGCCACACUGUCUCCUCCUGAGACUCAGCGAAGUUGAAAUGUUUGUGAUGAUGCAAUCUCCCCGCGGAAAGACGGAAAGACCCCAUGAACCUUUACUGUAGCUUUGUAUUGGACUUUGAACAGAUCUGUGUAGGAUAGGUGGGAGGCUUUGAAGCAGGGUCGCUAGAUCUUGUGGAGCCAACGUUGAAAUACCACCCUGGUGUGUUUGAGGUUCUAACCUAGGUCCAUUAUCUGGAUCGGGGACAGUGCAUGGUAGGCAGUUUGACUGGGGCGGUCUCCUCCCAAAGCGUAACGGAGGAGUUCGAAGGUACGCUAGUUACGGUCGGACAUCGUGACGAUAGUGCAAUGGCAUAAGCGUGCUUAACUGCGAGACUGACAAGUCGAGCAGAUGCGAAAGCAGGACAUAGUGAUCCGGUGGUUCUGUAUGGAAGGGCCAUCGCUCAACGGAUAAAAGCUACUCUGGGGAUAACAGGCUGAUACCGCCCAAGAGUUCAUAUCGACGGCGGUGUUUGGCACCUCGAUGUCGGCUCAUCUCAUCCUGGGGCUGUAGCCGGUCCCAAGGGUAUGGCUGUUCGCCAUUUAAAGAGGUACGUGAGCUGGGUUUAAAACGUCGUGAGACAGUUUGGUCCCUAUCUUCCGUGGGCGCUGCAGAUUUGAGGAAGCCUGCUCCUAGUACGAGAGGACCGGAGUGGACACACCUCUGGUGUAUCGGUUGUCACGCCAGUGGCAUUGCCGAGUAGCUAAGUGUGGAAGAGAUAACCGCUGAAAGCAUCUAAGCGGGAAACUCGUUUCAAGAUGAGAUCUGCCGGGGCCUUGAGCCCCCUAAAGAGUCGUUCAAGACCAGGACGUUGAUAGGUCAGGUGUGGAAGC
rnacentral:rRNA from 1 species